CCAGCCUGGUCUAACUAAACGGAUAAGGGAGAGUAGCCAGGAAGCGCGCCAGCAGCAUCUCGCUGGCGCCUGAGGGUGUCGGUGCCGACCGCCGCAGGCGCGCGUGGAGACGGGCUGGGCGCCGCCGAGACGUGAGCGUUCGUGGCCAUUGGUCGCCGCUUCAGUCGGCCGCCGGAAGUUCAGUCGCGCAGGGGCCGAGCCGCGCGCAGCCGCCGUGGAUGCCUUAGGCGCUCGUGCCACAGGGCCGCGGGAAGCCGCGCUAGUGGAGCCGCUGCGUCGCGGCCGGCCCGCUGAUGCGUCAAGUGCUCGAGGCCUCCUUGCUGGUGCAUGGCUGAGGGCAGCCGAUGCGUGCGCUCCAGUGGCGACUGGCGAGAGCCCAAGGGAUGUAUCCAUGCCCAUGUGGAGCGGCGCGCUGUGCCGUGAGCGGCCAUUACCGUGGCCGGCCGCAUCUGGGGUAGAGCGGACGCAAGAGCCGUUCGUGGGGAUAACGACAGGCCCGAUGUCAUCGCUUCGGAGGGCCGGCCAGGGGCAUGGCCUCGAGCGCCGCCGAUCUGCAUGGAUGCAAGACGAGGGCCGCGUCGACCACCAGGGAGCAGCGCUGAAGGAGUGGUCGUCGCCGUCGCUGCUCUUUGCGUCGUCUCCGGCCUUUGUUCUCCGUGUCGCGCCGUGAGGCCGAUAGGAUCGCUCCGCCGGGAGCGUGGUGAUAACGUGUUUAAUGAAAACGAGAUGUAACUCAGUGAAUGAAUCAAGUGUAAUCUUUCCAUUGAUCAA